GAUUAUUUCAUUAUAGAUUAAUAUCACACAGCUCGUUAUAUUCAUUUGUGUGUAUGUAUGAAUGUGUGUGUAUGUGUGUUACUGGGAUAGAACUGAAGAACUCACAUGCUAGACAACUGCUCUACCACUGAGCUACAUCCUCAGUCCUACACAUUUUUCAAGCAUACCAAACAGUAAUAGUAACCAACACAUACAUCAAUUAUGUCUAUGAGCACUUGUAACAAACCCAUGAGGCAUGGAUCCUUUAAUUAUCUCUGUUUUACAUGUGAGGAAACUGAAAUCAUGCAAUUAAUGACGAAGCUGGGAUUCAAACCAGAGCACUCCAAUGGCAGCCUCAGCUCUUAACCAAAAUUCUGUAUUACCUCCCUAAGGACACCUGCCCCUGGUCCUUCUAUUGUGCCUGACAAAGUCCAGCACAGCAUUCACAACUUUCUUUAGGUAGCUCCUCUUUCUCGCCCUCCACUCAGGAUGAAUUUCCUUUCCUAUUUCUCAUUGCACUUUACCUAUGGUUUUAUUUAUAGAUAUUCCUUAAAAAUCUGAGUAUGGGCUAAAUGAUGUGGCUCAGUGAUAGAGCACUUGCCAGGCAUGUGUGAGGUCCUGGGCUCAAUCCCCAGCACUGCAAAAAAUAAAAGUGAAAAAAAAUAAAAGUGAAAAUCUGAGGAGACAAUGAGAAACUACCAGAUAUAUUUCAUGCUCUUCCUGUCCUCUCCCUGUCCCCUCCUCUCCUGCUCCAGAGAUUACUCAACUGGAUUAUGUAUUACUUUCCAUGCCAAGCUCUGCCCCUCACUCAGUACUCCUCCUGCCGGCAGGGACUUCCCUGGACUAAACAUGGGCAAAGUAAUUCAAGCCCUCCACUGCCACCCCACCCAUCAGAAUCAGAAGGCAAUGGCUGUCGCAGAGCUCUCCACGUUCGAGAAGUCUUCUUCCUUCACAUUGCUGGCAAUGAUGCUGGGACUCAGCUGGAGCCAGGCCCAGCGUCAUGGUCAUGCAACUUGUACAGAUGUACUGGGCAUCUCAGGCCCCAUGGGGCUGCAGGUGUGGUUCAGUGGUAGAAUGCUUGCCUAGCAUGCAAGAAGCCCUGGGUUUCACCCCCAGCACUGCAUUUUUGAAAUUAGUUCUGGGAAUCUAACCCAGGGCCUCACACAUGCUGGGAACACUCUACUCACCAGCUACCAUGAUUGAUUUAAUGCUGUGUUGCCUCCUUCUGAGUUUUUGAACAAGAAUCCCCAUAAUUUCAUUUUGAACCGAACUUGCAAAUUAUUUAACUGGUGUUGUUGACCUCAACAUCUAUCUCCACAGGGCCUUUCCGUGUGGUCUGGAUUUUCUGUGUGGAGAGAGAUCCAGGCAAAAGAAGUGAUGACCUAACCUAACCUUUAUGGGGAAUGGCAAGGUCACACUGUAAGAAGAGCAAGGAGGAAUGGGAGAUACUAUUACAAUCUUUGGAAGAUUAAAUUUGCCACAUGCAGUCAUGACUAGGUCACCUCCCCAUCCAGCUGCAGAAGGGACUGGAAGGAUUCAUUUCAGCCUUGCCUUCUAGAAGGGCUGGUGUCAGGACCUCUAACCCCUGCUGAGAAAAGGGCCCACGGAGAGUUGGGAAUUUGAUCUUCACAGCCACUUCUAGCUCUUCCGCUCCUGGGUCAUUUAUAAGGAGCCCAGUGGGAUCAGAACCUGGGGCAAUGGGACCAAGAGCCUGACCCAGGUGCCUAAAACGUCUGCUCUCCUGGAGGAUUGGAAUCUCUGGGGAAGGCAGACUCUGCCUGGACAUCUGUUUCUCCCGCUGGCUUCUCUGCUUGACUAAAGAUUCCUCCUCUUUCGUUUCUCCCUGGGGCAUGUUGUUGUCUUUCUCAUUAACUUCCCCUCAACUCUCAGCAAGGUCCCUAGACUCUGAGCUCUGCUAAUUCCCCUGUAAUCCUCUGGCAAACCAGGAGGCUAAUUAAAUUGUGAGCUUUUGCAGUCACAGUCUCCAAAUCUCUUAGUCUCCCAUGUCUCUUCCCUUCUUUUUCUUUGUGACUGUCCCUGCAGAGUCCAGAUUCGUUUGGACAUUUUUUAUUGUCUUCUCCUUAAUCUGCCUUCUUCUCCUCUCUUCUUCAGUCUUCUUUUAAUCUGCAACUAGAGUAAUAUGAAAAUACAGCUCUGAGCAUCGCUUUCUCUCUGCUGCAAGAUAAAAGCUCUUUAGCUUGCUUUGAAACUCCACACAUCUUCUCUGCCAUAACUUCCCUUCACAAACCCUUCUCUUGGGAAAUGAGCCAUGAACAGUGCCCCUCCCCAAGUCCCUGUCUAUGCCAUCUCCGCAUUUCUCUUCAUAUUCUUACCUUUAAUUGGACCUUAUACCCCGCUCACUCUUCCAUCUCCACCCCCAUCUCCUCAUGUCAAAACCCUACUCAUUACUUAGAAAUAGCCUAUUUUUGCCACUUUCCCUGAUCUCCCCCAGCUGAAACUGCUCCCUCUUUGAGCUCUCCUGGUAUUUUGUGGCUUACUGCUACUGGCACUGAUGCCUUUUUCAGAUAUUUCAGUUUUUUUAUUUGCUUUUUUUUUUUGUACCAGAGAUUGAACCCAAGGGCACUUAACCACUG
rnacentral:lncRNA from 1 species